ensembl:lncRNA
UGACUGCCGCUGCUCUUUGGGUCCUUAAGUUGAAAUUUUAAUAUAGUUUUUACAGAUUUAUCUUCAUGGAUUAGUGACUCUUAAAUGUGCCGAAAUUUAUGUCAUACUUCACAUUGGAUUGGAUUGCUUAAAGGAGAUUAACAUCGCUGCACUCACCGUGACAUGAAUCUAGGCCGUAUGUUUUAUUGUGAACAUCAUCGUGGGACUGGCGUGUGUGGAAUUUAAGUGCGACUUUCUGGAGGAUACGGUGAGAAUGAUCUGUCUCCUGCUGCUUCUUUUGGCCCUUUGGAAUUUUACUACCUGUCCUCGCCACUCUCAACAGAGAUCUCUUUGUUUCUCUGAUAUGGUCCGAUCUUACUCAUUUUCGGAGUUGCGGAGUAUGAAUUCCUCAGAUCGUUUGUCAGAUGGAAUAUACAAUCAUUGCGCUGCACUUGGAAUCGCGCGUCGCCGUUAUAUUCAUCGAGGGUCAAAGCGACGAUAUUUUUGCAGCCGACAGACUGACCAGUCUGAUAACAACGAAAUACCAGUCCUCUGGUCAUCAUACCGGCGCUCACCAGCUGGCGACAGUAGUUUGAAGCGGGACCAUGGCAACAUCUUCGUACUAAAACGUACAUCUCUUCCUCAGGAAAACAUGGAUAGCAUCAACAUUAAAAUGGCUCUUAUUAAUACUCGUUCAAUAGUGAACAAGUCUUUUAUUCUCAACAACUUUUUUACAUCACAAUCCUUGGACUUUUUAUUUAUCACUGAGACGUGGGUAAAUCCUGGUGAACAAAUGGCCUUGGGGGAUCUGACACCACCAGGCUGCAACUUUCUAAAUUCCCCACGAACUUCAGGACGUGGAGGCGGUGUUGCUACUGUUUUUAAGAACUCUUUUAAAUGUAAAAAGCUGCCUAUGGAUACGUAUUCCAGCUUUGAGGCCCAGCUGUUAAAAAUUGAAAUGAUGAUCCCUGUUUUCUGCGUUCUUGUUUACAGACCUCCUAAAUUUAAUAAGGAUUUCAUACAACAAUUUUCGGAUUUCCUCUCUGGACUGGUAUCUCGUGGUGACAGACUCCUUAUUAUUGGGGACUUUAAUAUCCAUGUAUGCUGUCCAUCAAAACCUUUGGUAAAUGAUUUUCUUUUGCUCACUGAGUCAUUAAACCUUGUACAAUAUGUUACUGAUCCUACUCACAACAAGGGUCACACUUUAGACCUUGUAUUUUCAUAUGGUUUCUCUGUGUUUAAUUUGGAGAUUC